ensembl:ncRNA F25H8.13 ncRNA
CCGCGCGGCGCGACACGAAAAAGAAGUCGUCCUCCCUCGUUGCCAUCUCAUUUCUCUCGACUCCGCCCCCGGCCCUUCUUCCUCAAUUUUCCAACUGACCAUCGGCUUUUGGCAGCCAAUGGGCAGAGGGAUAAACCGGCUUUUUGCCGUACCGUUCGGGGGCCCUUCGUUUCGUUGGAUACGACAAGAAACAACGUAAAAGUAUACAGAAGAAGGAGAAAUAAGACGACGUGAACGGAGGGACAAGGGUGGAACAUCUUCUGCUUAUGUUGUUAUUGUAGUAAAAAAGCAAGAAUAAGAAGAAGAAGCGUGCAUAAUAAGUGGACAGAACUUGAAGAAGAAUCUAU